rnacentral:lncRNA from 1 species
ACACCAUUGUGAGUGCACAGACCGACGCAGUUAGGUUUGUCAGCAGCAGUAGUGAAACUCUUUGUGCUCUUCAUAUUAUCGGGGUGGUUUGAAGUGGCACGCCGAAGCAGCGGAACAGGAGUACCGACCGGUGUGAUUCCCUAAACUAAAGGUGUGAAUCCAACAUCGAGGAUGGAGCAAGCUCACACGAAGUCUGUGGCGGAGACGCUAUCGUAUUUUAGUGUCAAUGAAGAAACCGGCCUCACUCUGGAACAAGUGAAGGCGAACACAGAAAAAUAUGGACCUAAUGAAUUGCCAGCAGAAGAGGGUAAG